UGGGGAAUAUUGCACAAUGGGCGAAAGCCUGAUGCAGCAACGCCGCGUGAGUGAUGAAGGCCUUCGGGUUGUAAAGCUCUGUCUUUUGGGACGAUAAUGACGGUACCAAAGGAGGAAGCCACGGCUAACUACGUGCCAGCAGCCGCGGUAAUACGUAGGUGGCAAGCGUUGUCCGGAUUUACUGGGCGUAAAGGAUGCGUAGGCGGAUUUUUAAGUGAGAUGUGAAAUACCCGGGCUUAACUUGGGUGCUGCAUUUCAAACUGGGAAUCUAGAGUGCGGGAGAGGAGAAUGGAAUUCCUAGUGUAGCGGUGAAAUGCGUAGAGAUUAGGAAGAACACCAGUGGCGAAGGCGAUUCUCUGGACCGUAACUGACGCUGAGGCAUGAAAGCGUGGGUAGCAAACAGGAUUAGAUACCCUGGUAGUCCACGCCGUAAACGAUGAGUACUAGGUGUAGGAGGUAUCGACCCCUUCUGUGCCGCAGUUAACACAAUAAGUACUCCGCCUGGGAAGUACGAUCGCAAGAUUAAAACUCAAAGAAUUGACGGGGUCAUAGCUGUUUCCU
rnacentral:rRNA from 1 species